UAUCUGUUUAAUUUUCCUUGUUUCCAUUCUUAUUUUCUUUUCACAUCGAUUUGCCUUUUGGUUCUUGGUUGACGUUUAUUGUUUCUGGGAUAUUUCAUCUGGGAUCUCGAUUGCGAAAUUUAAUUGAUUUUGUGGGCUUUUGGCCGAUAUUUUUGCUGGUCCCUUUCGAAAUCACAACUCUGUUUACCUGCAAUCUAAGGUUCUUCAUAAACUACUCUGAAUUUCACUUCAAUGUCGAAAUCCAAUUACUUCGUGAAAUCUUGCCCAUAAAUACUUCUGGGUUUGCUUCAAAAUUGCAAUUUCCUUCACCCAUAACCUGUUUUUCCACCUCAUUUUGGAUAUUGUUUGUGUUUUUGUAAUUUUUGGCCUGAAGAUCGGUCUGGGUGUGCUUCAGACUCAGUAAUAUCACCAUCCAGAACCUCAGUUGCCUCCACAAAGUAUGGUUUCCUUGUCCGGUUCAAUUUUAUUUCCUGCUACUGUACUGCAUGGCUGUACUAGAUUCUCUAUUUGGAGUACGGACACAAUCUCUUCUUUCUGCUAUAAGCAGAGAAAGGUUGUUUGCGCUUGUAUCGCACCUCCGCGGAACAUGGGCAACAAUGAAUAUCCAGCAACCAAAUUCACUAAUUUGUAUAAUUCAGAGCAAUUUGGGGCGGUAUUGGAACCAGAGGAUGAUUCUGAUAUCC
rnacentral:misc_RNA from 1 species